UACCAGCACCCCGAGUGGUCGGGACGUUUUAUUGGGCCUAAAGCAUCCGUAGCCGGUUCUACAAGUCUUCCGUUAAAUCCACCUGCUCAACAGAUGGGCUGCGGAAGAUACUAUGGAGCUAGGAGGCGGGAGAGGCAAGCGGUACUCGAUGGGUAGGGGUAAAAUCCGUUGAUCCAUUGAAGACCACCAGUGGCGAAGGCGGCUUGCCAGAACGCGCUCGACGGUGAGGGAUGAAAGCUGGGGGAGCAAACAGG
rnacentral:rRNA from 1 species